UUUGGUGGUGACUGUUCUUUUCAGCUUAGAGGCUGUUUCAGGUGAAAAGCACCCGUAUGGGUGUUCCCCAAACACACCAUCAGGAAGGGAGACUGUAAAAGCCAAGGGAGCAGAAAUUCACAUCUGGAGGAGACAAUAGUAUAGGGGAGUAACAUCUGUCCCGAGUACUAAUCUAUAUUUAGUCCACUCUGUUUUGGCAUCAAGAUCUUUGCCCGGGCUGCGCAGGUGCCAGGCUCUGAAGGGGCUCCCCGCCAGGCGGCCCACAGACAACAUAGCUUCUCUCAUUGGGCACCACGAUCGCCUCUUUGACAAUGGCCUUUGGCAGUUUCAAUGGACUUUGAAAAGCCAGCUCCCCUGGUCCCAGGUCUUUCUGGCCACUAGCCUGGCAUGAGCUAAGCGUCUGAGCAGAUUCCUUUAAUUUGUCAGGCUACCCCUCUGUGGGAGAGAAAAGAGAAAUUGAGCUUUGGCAAAGAGACAAAGAUGUUAUGAUUAAAACCAAGAAGUUCCUUGUGGGAUAAAGAAAAGUCGGCAUAUGACCACAGGCUGAACGCGACGAAAACUGAAAAACUCCAGUUACAUCUCCAUUUCUUCAUCCAUCUUAUCCUGCCCAGUUGAGGUCAGAGGACUGCUCCUUUAAGACACUGGAGAAGAGUCACGUUGGGAUGGUGGAGAUGAAAAGGGAUGGAAAGCAGUCAUCUCAUACUCAUAAGCCACUGUGUUUGUGCAGUGUUUAUGUAUAUUAAGUACUUAAGAAUGUGUCUGGUACUUAGUGGGUACCUACUAUUGGUUAUCUUCUUUGCCUGAGACUCAGUUGAACCUCCCAGAAGGAAAACAAAAACAACACCCCCACUUCCCAAAAACUAGCUUUUUAGACAUGUUGCAUGUAUAAAGAUAUUCCUUUGCAAAGUGUCGCAGGUUCAAUUCCCAGUCAGAGCACAUGCCUGGGUUGCAGGCCACGGCCCCCAGCAACUGCACAUUUAUGUUUCUCUCUCUCUCUCUCUCUCUCUCUCUCUUUCUCCCUCC